AGUCACUGACAUUAGAUACCCCCGUAGUCCAGGGUGUAAACGCUGCAGACUUGGUGUUGGAAGUCCUUUGGGGGCAUCUACGAGAUGGCCCUGUGCUGUAGGGUAGCCGUUAAACUCGCUGCCUGGGGAGUACGGUCGCAAGGCUGAAACUUAAAGGAAUUGGCGGGGAGCACCACAAGAGGUGGAGGCUGCGGUUCAAUUGGACUCAACGCCGGAAAACUCAUCGGGAGCGACAGCAGUAUGAUUGCCAGGUUGAUGACCUUGCUUGACAAGCUG
rnacentral:rRNA from 1 species